rnacentral:rRNA from 1 species
UACGUAGGGGGCAAGCGUUGUCCGGAAUCAUUGGGCGUAAAGAGCGUGUAGGCGGCCCGGUAAGUCCGCUGUGAAAGUCCAGGGCUCAACCCUGGAAUGCCGGUGGAAACUGUCGGGCUAGAGUCCGGGAGAGGCGAGUGGAAUUCCUGGUGUAGCGGUGAAAUGCGCAGAUAUCAGGAGGAACACCUAGUGCGAAGGCAGCUCGCUGGGACGUUACUGACGCUGAGACGCGAAAGCGUGGGGAGCAAACAGG